AUGGCGGGGGGGGGCGCCUCUCGCGAGAGCAGCGCGGCUGUCAUCGCCACCCCUCCCUGCCCCGGGGGCCCUGGAAGGUGCCUGGCCGCCCACCGCCCGCCCGGGCAGGAUGAGGCGUCAGGUCUGUGCAGGCGCUGGGCUGAUAACAUCUGGACGCUGGGAGGCGGGGGCGGAGAGGAGAGUUGGGCCUGGGGCCUGGAAGCUCUCCCUGCCGAGGCCCAGGCAGAAGAGCCGACUGCCCAGCCGGGCUCGGGGACGGGAGGGAACAUGCGCCCUGAGACCCAGAGUGCGGGUUUGGGGGCGUGUGGCGACGAGAUCGGGGCGGCGGCGGGGGGGGGGCGUGUGCCCGGAAACGAGGCGCUGGCGGUCGUCUGGUCUGUGGGUGCGGCCAGCCCUCUCCGGCGGGUGGGAAGCCGCGGCCUUUCCUGCCGGACGCUCCUUCCUCACCAGGAGGGUCUCCCAGCCCCCGGGCGAUGCUGCCCGGACCUGCUCGAUGCCCAGCAGCACCGCCCACCGCCCACCCCCCGGGCCGGCCGGUCCUGGCAGCGGCUGGUCUUUGUCCGGCUCUGGGCCGGCCCGCUGUGCGGUGGGGGCGGCAGAGGAAGCGCCGCGCGUCUCCAGCCGGCAUUCGAGCCCGGGGUGCGCAGCUCGGGGACCCCAGCAGCCGAGCGAGUCCUGGCUGUGGGGUCGGACGGCGGGGUGGCCCUGGCCCCCGUUUUCUGCAUUCCCCUCUUCCCCCGCACCCCCGGCGCCCCGUCAUCAUCAUCGGGCAUUUCCCUGACGGCGGGUUCAAGCUGGCUGUACGUCGUGAUAGGAGCCCUGAGUCACAUCUCGCUACUAUUUUUUCCCCGCUUUGUCACUCGUCUCUCUGUGGUGUGGGGUUUGUGCUUGGUCACACGAUUCCAGGGUUUGUGUCAUCGGACUUUGCAGGCUUUUCCGAAGGGCUUCUGGGGUUUCUCCGGGGCUUGUUGGCCUGCCACUGACUUAGCGGGGCGCCGCCUCCUUCGAAAGUCACCGAGCGUUCGUUACCCGUUGCUGCAUCACACGUCUACCCCCAGGAGCCGCGCAGCGCGGCCGGCGCUCGAGGUCUCGCAGGUGUCUGAGGGCCAGGGUCCUGGAGGGCUUGGCUGGGGCUCCUGGCUGGAGGUGUGUCACAGGCUGCCGUCGAGGCAUCAGUCGGGGCCAGUCUGGUCGGCCUGGGGCAGGGGCUUGGGGAGGGGAGGCUCUGCUUCCAGGAUCGCUGGCGGGCUGUGGCGGGCCGGGGCCUCCCCACCGGGCCGCUGGGGGCCGGGCUCCCCAGAGCCAGCGAUCUGGGCGAGACAGAGCCGCCCCCGGGGCCAAGGCACGGUGCCGGUCUGA
rnacentral:lncRNA from 1 species